rnacentral:rRNA from 1 species
UACGGAGGGUGCAAGCGUUAUCCGGAUUCACUGGGCUUAAAGGGCGCGUAGGCGGGAUGGCAAGUCGGGCGUGAAAUCCCUCGGCUCAACCGAGGAGCGUCGGCCGAUACUGCCGUUCUUGAGGGAUGCAGAGGAGACUGGAAUUCCCGGUGUAGCGGUGAAAUGUGUAGAGAUCGGGAGGAACACCGGUGGCGAAGGCGGGUCUCUGGGCAUCUCCUGACGCUGAGGCGCGAAAGCGUGGGGAGCAAACGGG